rnacentral:rRNA from 1 species
UACGAAGGUGGCUAGCGUUGUUCGGAUUUAUUGGGCGUAAAGGGUCCGCAGGCGGUUUGAUAAGUCAGGUGUGAAAUCCAACAGCUUAACUGUUGACACGCAUUUGAUACUGUCAGACUAGAGUAUGAGAGGGGUAAGAGGAAUUUCCAGUGUAGGGGUGAAAUCCGUAGAUAUUGGAAAGAACACCGGCCGCGAAGGCGUUUUACUGGCUCAUUACUGACGCUCAGGGACGAAAGCUAGGGGAGCAAACGGG